rnacentral:rRNA from 1 species
UAGUGGCGAACGGGUGAGUAACACGUGGGCAAUCUGCCCUUCACUCUGGGACAAGCCCUGGAAACGGGGUCUAAUACCGGAUAACACUCUGUCCCGCAUGGGACGGGGUUGAAAGCUCCGGCGGUGAAGGAUGAGCCCGCGGCCUAUCAGCUUGUUGGUGGGGUGAUGGCCUACCAAGGCGACGACGGGUAGCCGGCCUGAGAGGGCGACCGGCCACACUGGGACUGAGACACGGCCCAGACUCCUACGGGAGGCAGCAGUGGGGAAUAUUGCACAAUGGGCGAAAGCCUGAUGCAGCGACGCCGCGUGAGGGAUGACGGCCUUCGGGUUGUAAACCUCUUUCAGCAGGGAAGAAGCGAAAGUGACGGUACCUGCAGAAGAAGCGCCGGCUAACUACGUGCCAGCAGCCGCGGUAAUACGUAGGGCGCAAGCGUUGUCCGGAAUUAUUGGGCGUAAAGAGCUCGUAGGCGGCUU